GAUGAACGCUGGCGGCGUGCUUAACACAUGCAAGUCGAACGAUGAAGCCCAGCUUUCUGUGUGGUUUAGUUGCGAACGGGUGAGUAACACGUGAGUAACCUGCCCUUAACUCUGGGUUAAGCCUGUGAAACUGGGUCUAAUACCGGAUAGGUGCUUUCACCACAUGGUUGGUGUUGUAAAGAUUUAUCGGUUUUGGAUGGACUCUCGGCCUAUCAGCUUGUUGGUGAGGUAAUGGUUCACCAAGGGGACGACGGGUAGCCGGCCUGUGAGGGUGACCGGCCACCAUGGGACUGAGAGACGGACCAGAAGCGUACGGGCGGCAGUAGUCGGGAGUCUUGCAGAAUGGCGGCAAGCCUGAUGCAGAGACGCCGCGUGAGGGAUGACGGCCUUCGGGUUGUAAACCUAUUUCAGUAGGGAAGAAGAGAACGUGACGGUACCUGAAGAAGAAGCAACGGCUAACUACGUG
rnacentral:rRNA from 1 species